rnacentral:lncRNA from 1 species
AUUGAAAUUUUACUGCUUUUUUCAUGGCAUAUUUGUGAACAUGGAAAAAACGCUUACUAUCAUCCAAAUAAAAUUCGGUAAAUGCAUAUAAAUCCAAAACAACUCAUUGCUUAAUGGUAUUAAGCAACCAAAAACACUACGGUUCAAUAAGGGGCAAGCUUCACGAGUUCAGGAAUUCAACUUAUUACAUUUAAAAAAGAGGCCUAACGGCUGCUAGGCUAAUAGACUGUAAGAAACAAAAAGUAGGCCAAUUUAUAGCACUACCACAGUAAUGAAACAGCUUAAAGUUGCUUUGCAAUGUGAACGAUGAGGUCAACCACACGGGUACUGCAAAAAAGUAUACGAAACAUGAAUUAGAUGGCAGAAUGAACGAGUGAGCAUCUAGUUGAAUUGCACUUCUAGAAAAUCAAUCAACUAGGAUUCAGAUAUCAACCAACAAUAAACCAUAUAAAAGGUCAGACUGAAGAUUACCUGUAACCCAACUCAUUGUCAUACCAAGAGACAAGCUUGACGAAAUUGUCGUUUAAGGCAAUUCCUGCCUUGGCAUCAAAGAUGCUCGACCUGGAGCAUCGAUUACACACAAAAUUAACUCAACUGUGAUGACUAUAAUUCUAUGGAGAAACACAAAAAUAAAUUAGCAACCAGUGCAAUCAACGCAUCUAAACUGCCUGCUAGUAUAAUAUUUACCUGGUAUCACCAAUAAAGUCGGUGGAGACGACGUCAUCCUCGGUGUAACCGAGGAUACCUUUCAAGUUGCCCUCAGACUCCUCCCUGCAGAAACAGAAAUGUUAAAAAUCAUAGAUCUCAGAACAUAAGUCCUGCUAAACUAUAGUCCAAUCAAAAUACUUAAUCACAAGGGGUGACACCGUGCACUGUUCACUUACUUGAUAGCAGCUUUGAUUUGGUCAUAGGUGGCAGGCUUCUCAAGUCUCACUGUAAGGUCAACAACUGAGACAUCCACAGUUGGGACACGGAAUGCCAUUCCAGUCAACUUUCCAUUCAAAGCAGGAAGCACUUUGCCAACAGCCUAAGUAAGACUAAGAGAAUGAAAACCGCAUCCAGAGAAUCAUUACAGUAAACAACACAAUAGAUGUGGAUAAUAGUCUGAUAUCAGACUCAAAUAUUCUCACCUUAGCAGCUCCAGUGCUACUAGGAAUGAUGUUAAAUGAGGCAGCUCUUCCACCUCUCCAGUCUUUGGCUGAUGGCCCAUCAACAGUCUUCUGGGUGGCUGAUUGGCAAAUCAGCAUGAAAAGAAAGAAUUAGGAACCAAAUAACAAGAUAGCAAAUCCAAGAGCAACCCACUAGCACUAAACCUACCAGUGAUAGAAUGAACAGUGGUCAUCAAACCCUCAACAAUGCCAAAUCUGUCAUUGAUAACCUACAAAAUAAAUAAACAGGAAACAGUUAAGGCCUCAUACGGCAAACCAACAUGGAAAUUAGAGGAUAAAAUAUCAGUUGGCUCGUAAUACCUUUGCAAGUGGUGCAAGGCAGUUGGUAGUGCAACUAGCAUUGGAGAUGAUAUCAAACUCUGGCUUGUAUUCCUUCUCAUUGACACCAACAACAAACAUGGGAGCAUCCUUACUAGGGGCGGAAAUGAUGACCUUCUUGGCACCACCCUAGAUAAAACAAACAAAAACAUAAAGAUUCCCACUACACUUUAUACAAAACUAAUCAAUGAGAACAUCCGUAAGAGUCAGUAAAUAGAAGAUAUUAAUAAUACAUUGCAAGUUGUGGCCUGCUAGAAACUAUUGUAAUAUUGCAAGUAGCUGAAAAUAGCGGUUUGUUAAAACUCCGCUACGCAAUUGUGAUACAGUGCCCCUAUAGCAGCUAUGAGACCAACAUUUAAUACUAAACAGUGUAUCGCAGAACAAUAGUGGUGCGUCCAAAGUCCGCUACGCCAUAGCAACAUAGCGCCACUAUAGCUGCUAUUUAAGAACACUGAUUGCCACAUUGAUCUGAAUAAUGAUAUGACAUGCAUGUUUUAAAAGAGGCAAAUGGUAUGGCAGUGUGCAAAAAAACGAGAAAACCAUGAGCAUGUUAAGAAAAUAGAUAUAAACAAAACAUGCACCACAUAAUAAUAUCAACAUACAUGUGCAGCAAUUGGGAAAAUAAUAACUCAAAUUUUAGUAAUAAUAUCAACAUAUAUGUGCAGCAAUUGGGAAAAUAAGCUCAAAUUUUAGUAAUAAUAUCAACUAUUAUGUGCAACAUUUGGGAAAAUAAUAGCUCAAAUUUUAGUAAACAAAUAAUCAGCAACAAAAUAGUGUAGCCAAAGAAAUACAAACCUUCAAAUGAGCAGCAGCUUUGUCCUUGUCGGUAAAAACACCGGUGGACUCAACAAUAAUAUCAGCACCAGUGCUAGCCCAUGGGAUCUCUUCUGGGUUCCUAAAGCACAAAAAAAUAGACAUACUACUCAAACACACAGACUACUCCAAAUAUCAAUAUUAUACUAAUACUAAUUAAUUAAACGGUAACACUACUUAUUACAUUCCCAUAUCUACACCGAACUUAAAUAACACAUACAUAAAAGCCUAGUUGCAUAUAUAAACAUUAAUCAUAUACAAAAGCAUAACAAUUGAAAGAAAGAACAAUAUUAUACCUGUGUGCAAAGACAGUGACUGGCUUCUCACCGAAGAGAAGGGUUUUAGAGUCCUUAACAGUUAGUUCAUCGUUUUUCCAUUGACCGUGAACACUGUCAUACUUAAACAUGUAUGUCUACACACAAACCACAAAGAAAUAAAUCAGAUCUAAAUAAAAAAUUUAAAAAAAACUUAACAGCGCUCAUAAAAUAAUAGACAAGUAAAAAUCGAAGAAGGAAUUUUGUACCAUGUAAUCAGUGGUGAUGAAAGGAUCGUUAACAGCAACGAGUUCAACAUCAUCUCUCUUCAAAGCAACUCUAGCAACCAAACGUCCGAUUCUUCCAAAUCCUAUCAGUUACAAACAAAAUUAACAAAAAAUAAACUAAAUUAAAAAAUAUAAAUCCGAUCGACGCAUAAAUGAACAGAGAUCGAAGGAACUAUAAUAUUUACCGUUGAUUCCGAUCUUGAUCUUGGCUGAUCCAUCAAAAUUCGAAACAAAAACAAAGGAAAAAAAUCAGAUCAGCUUACACUAAUUGAAAAAUUAACGGAAAAUUAAUGAGAAAUUAAGGAAAAAUAAUGAAACAGUUAUGAAUAAUUACCACCACCCAUGGCUGAAAAACAAAGAGGAUGAAGUGAAGUAGUAGAAGAGUAGAGUGAUAGCGGAAAGAACGAGGAAGAGUAG